CUGGGUAGAAAGGGGUGGAAGGAUGGCUUUGAACAAAGUUAGGGAAACAAGAGGCUGAGGAUAGACAAGCAAGGAGAAAUGAUGGGGUCUGUGGUAAAGGCCAGGGAACUGUGUUCAGGUCCAGAAGGCCUGAGAGUCAUGCUGGCUGUACUAUCCCAAGGGUACGACCACAGAGAAGAUUUCAGAUGGGAUCUGUUCAUGCUGAGCCACAAACCUCUGAAGAUACAGCGGAGGUCGUGGCUGCUGUGACGCAGUGGCCACCACUAGCACAUCUGAGAGCAUUCCUGUGUCUGUUUCCCAGGCUAGGCAAACUCCUGGGGCAUCAGUCACGCUCAACCUCCAUGUUGUCCGGGACUUACAAUGUAUGCCACUAAUCUUGACUUCUUAGUUUUCUGACGGGAGCUCUCUUCCUUCUGAGUACUAGUCUCGGGUCUCCAGCCCCAGGAAGACCCUCUGCUUUUCUCUCCACCCUUGGCUUGCUCCUCAGCAGGGAAGAAGUAGAUCACAGUCUCACUGCCUUCAGUUCCCAGCUUUGCCAGUCACCAGCUGUGUAGUCUCAGGCCAAUCACCACCUCCUCUAGCCUAGGUAGUUGGUUUUAUGUGGGUGAAUGUUUUGCCUGGAUGUAUGUAUGUACACCACCUGUGUGCCUGGUGCCCCUGCAGUCAGAAGAAAGUGCCACACCCCUAGGAACUGGAGUUAAGAUGGGUUAGAGCCUCCAUGUGGGUGCUGAGAACUGAACCUGGUUCUCUGGAAAAGCAGCCGGCACUCAACCUCUGAGCCAGCUCUUCAUCCCCGAGUCCGUUUAUUUAACCGGCUAUAAAAUGGAUUUAAAACGACUUACCUCACCAGGCCUGUGAAACAUUUAAAAACUUAAUAAAAAUUCUACACUUAAU
rnacentral:lncRNA from 1 species